UGGGGAAUAUUGCACAAUGGGCGCAAGCCUGAUGCAGCCAUGCCGCGUGUGUGAAGAAGGCCUUCGGGUUGUAAGGCACUUUCAGCGGGGAGGAAGGCGUUAAGGUUAAUAACCUUGGCGAUUGACGUUACCCGCAGAAGAAGCACCGGCUAACUCCGUGCCAGCAGCCGCGGUAAUACGGAGGGUGCAAGCGUUAAUCGGAAUUACUGGGCGUAAAGCGCACGCAGGCGGUCUGUCAAGUCGGAUGUGAAAUCCCCGGGAUCAACCUGGGAACUGCAAUCGAAAGUGGCAGGCUAGAGUCUUGUAGAGGGGGGUAGAAUUCCAGGUGUAGCGGUGAAAUGCGUCGAGAUCUGGGGGAAUACCGGUGGCGAAGGCAGCCCCCUGGACAAAGACUGACGCUCAGGUGCGAAAGCGUGGGGAGCAAACAGG
rnacentral:rRNA from 1 species